rnacentral:lncRNA from 1 species
AAGGAACUAGAGGCUCUAAAGAGCCUGUGUCGCUCACCUUGGUCUAUGUUAAUAUUAAACAUUGUACACAGAUGAAUUCAUGACAAAAUUGUGUUUUGGUGAUGGUGAUGUGUUUGUAGAUCUUACUUUACUAAACAUUUUUGCUGCUUACAAUUAUCUCUAUCUAUAACAGUAGUUUCUGUGGAAAAUGUUAGUGAAAAUCUACAAAUUUUGUGAAAAUUAUUAAAAAUUUACUAUGAAGGGCAAUAACUCCUUAGGGGGUCAAUUGACUAUUUUGGUCAUGUUGA